AGGCACUUUGGGAGCCUGAACCCACGGGCGGUAGCGUG
rfam:Kangiella koreensis DSM 16069, complete genome.